rnacentral:misc_RNA from 1 species
CUUCAAGGCCAUGGCUUACCCGGCCAGCGGUUACAGCAUCCCCACCAUCGGCUGGAUGGCCGACCU